rnacentral:rRNA from 1 species
AGAGUUUGAUCCUGGCUCAGAACGAACGCUGGCGGCAGGCCUAACACAUGCAAGUCGAACGCUCGUAGCAAUACGGGAGUGGCGCACGGGUGAGUAACGCGUGGGCACCUGCCCGGUGGUUUGGGAUAACCGUGGGAAACUGCGGCUAAUACCGGAUACGCCCCUAGGGGGAAAGAUUUAUCGCCAUCGGAUGGGCCCGCGUAGGAUUAGCUAGUUGGUGAGGUAACGGCUCACCAAGGCGACGAUCCUUAGCUGGUCUGAGAGGAUGAUCAGCCACACUGGGACUGAGACACGGCCCAGACUCCUACGGGAGGCAGCAGUGGGGAAUCUUGGACAAUGGGCGCAAGCCUGAUCCAGCCAUGCCGCGUGAGUGAAGAAGGCCUUCGGGUUGUAAAGCUCUUUUACCAGGGACGAUAAUGACGGUACCUGAGAAUAGCCCCCAUCCCU